UACGAACGGUCCAAGCGUUGUUCGGUGUCAUUGGGCUUAAAGCGUGCGUAGGCGGAGGCGUUAGUGUCUUGUGAAAUCCCACGGCUCAACCGUGGAACUGCAGGGCAUACUGCGUCUCUUGAGACCAGCAGAGGCGGCCGGAACUGUAGGUGUAGCGGUGAAAUGCGUAGAUAUCUACAGGAACGCCGAAGGUGAAGACAGGCCGCUGGGCUGGUUCUGACGCUCAGGCACGAAAGCGUGGGGAGCGAACAGGAUUAGAUACCCGAGUA
rnacentral:rRNA from 1 species